rnacentral:rRNA from 1 species
UGACGGGGGCCCGCACAAGCGGCGGGGCACGUGUUCAAUGGGGAGGCAAGGUGAAGAACUUUAACAGAUCCAGACAUCCUGAGAACUUUCUAGAGAUAGAAUGGUGCCUUCGGGAGCUCAGAGACAGGUGCGGCAUGGCUGUCGUCAGCUCGUCUCGUGAGAUGUUGGGUUAAGUCCCGUAACGAGCGCAACCCUUGUCCUUAGUUGCCAGCGCGUAUUGUCGGGAACUUUAAGGAGACUGCCGGUGACAAACCGGAGGAAGGUGGGGACGACGUCAAGUCAUCAUGGCCCUUACGACCUGGGCUACACACGUGCUACAAUGGAACGCACAGAGGGCUGCAAAGGCGCGAGCUGGAGCGAAUCCCACAAAACGUUUCGUAGUCCGGAUUGGAGUCUGCAACUCGACUCCAUGAAGUCGGAAUCGCUAGUAAUCGUGGAUCAGAAUGCCACGGUGAAUACGUUCCCGGGCCUUGCACACACCGCCC